rnacentral:lncRNA from 1 species
CAUGCAUUUCAAACAAAUUCAAACAUCAAUUAUUUCAUGGCUUUUGACAUAAUUUAAAGUCAUGGAUAGAAGAUGCCCUUACCUCGGCAAAAGUUUCCAAUCACACAAUCGAACGCGCAAUUAAACACCGUUACUCGUUUCCUCAAAAAGGAAAGGAGCUAGCAAGUACAAUGGAAGUAGCAAGCUUGUUCUCAAGAGAAAUGGUGGAUAAUUGAAAAAUUUGUGAGAGAUAGGGUUCAAGAGAAGGAGGCCACGGCCAAAGAGAGAAAAGAGGAAGAAG